rnacentral:lncRNA from 1 species
CCUCAACAGGGAAAUGAAAUGAUACGGUUUCCUUUAAACUGAGAGGAAAAUACUGAGGUAAUUGAAAGGACCAACUGUCAUAAAAGCGCAGAGUGAGAGCCUCAAGACUCCUUUCAUUGGGUCCGUGACGGUCCUUCUGAGUGUCCUCUGUAAGAUUUAAAGUAAAAAUAACCAUGCGUCUCCCCCUUAGUUUCCGUGUGUGUGAAGAAGGCGCUAGACUGGUUAGCUCUCCAGGCUCGCCCGUCGCCAGGCGCUGUUCUCCUCCGAUUCUAGACUUCCAGUUCCAGGCAGCGUGUGUGUUGGGUCAUACCUCAAGGCCUUGGAACAGAUGAAACCUUUUCAGCCGCCUCGAGGAGGUAAUGGACCAUUACGAGAAAGCAUAAGCGUCCUCCCCAUUUUGUUGCCAACAUCAAAAGAGCAGAAAGAUGGUAAAACGGAAGACACACCUGAAAUAAGAGGCACGUGGAAAAUGUUUGGAAAGUUUUGAAGAAAAUUAACUUGGUAUUUGCUUUUCAAGAAACUAGAUAGGAAAAAAUUAUUGUAAAGUUAAAAGCAGAGAGUGUUGAA